rnacentral:rRNA from 1 species
CAGCAGCCACGGUAAUACGUAGGGUGCAAGCGUUAAUCGGAAUUACUGGGCGUAAAGCGUGCGCAGGCGGUUUGUUAAGACGGAUGUGAAAUCCCCGGGCUCAACCUGAGAACUGCAUUCGUGACUGGCAAGCUAGAGUAUGGCAGAGGGGGGUGGAAUUCCACGGGUAGCAGUGAAAUGCGUAGAUAUGUGGAGGAAUACCGAUGGCGAAGGCAGCCCCCUGGGAUAACACUGACGCUCAUGCACGAAAGCGUGGGGGGCAAACAGGAUUAGAUACCCCUGUAGUCCCUGUCUCUUAUAC